rnacentral:rRNA from 1 species
ACGAACGCUGGCGGCGUGCUUCACACAUGCCAGUCGAACGGAAAGGCCCUGCUUUUGUGGGGUGCUCGAGUGGCGAACGGGUGAGUAACACGUGAGUAACCUGCCCUUGACUUUGGGAUAACUUCAGGAAACUGGGGCUAAUACCGGAUAGGAGCUCCUGCUGCAUGGUGGGGGUUGGAAAGUUUCGGCGGUUGGGGAUGGACUCGCGGCUUAUCAGCUUGUUGGUGGGGUAGUGGCUUACCAAGGCUUUGACGGGUAGCCGGCCUGAGAGGGUGACCGGCCACAUUGGGACUGAGAUACGGCCCAGACUCCUACGGGAGGCAGCAGUGGGGAAUAUUGCACAAUGGGCGGAAGCCUGAUGCAGCAACGCCGCGUGCGGGAUGACGGCCUUCGGGUUGUAAACCGCUUUAGCCUGUGACGAAGCGUGAGUGACGGUAAUGGGUAAAGAAGCACCGGCUAACUACGUG